rnacentral:rRNA from 1 species
GGACUACCGGGGUAUCUAAUCCUGUUUGCUCCCCACGCUUUCGUGCCUGAUCGUCAGUUCUGGUCCAGGAAGCCGCUUUCGCCACUGAUGUUCCUUCGGAUAUCUACGCAUUUCACCGCUACACCCGAAAUUCCGCUUCCCUCUGCCGAACUCUAGCUAUCCAGUAUCGAAUGCAAUUCCCAGGUUGAGCCCGGGGAUUUCACAUCCGACUUAAAUAACCGACUACGCACGCUUUACGCCCAGUAAUUCCGAUUAACGCUUGCACCCUCUGUAUUACCGCGGCUGCUGGCAC